GGUUAAGUUAGAAAGGGCGCACGGUGGAUGCCUUGACACUAGGAGUCGAUGAAGGACGGGACUAACGCCGAUAUGCUUCGGGGAGCUGUAAGUAAGCUUUGAUCCGAAGAUUUCCGAAUGGGGAAACCCACCAUACGUAAUGGUAUGGUAUCCUUAUCUGAAUACAUAGGGUAAGGAAGACAGACCCAGGGAACUGAAACAUCUAAGUACCUGGAGGAAGAGAAAGCAAAUGCGAUUUCCUGAGUAGCGGCGAGCGAAACGGAACAUAGCCCAAACCAAGAGGCUUGCCUCUUGGGGUUGUAGGACAUUCUAUACGGAGUUACAAAGGAACGAGGUAGACGAAGCGACCUGGAAAGGUCCGUCGUAGAGGGUAACAACCCCGUAGUCGAAACUUCGUUCUCUCUUGAAUGUAUCCUGAGUACGGCGGAACACGUGAAAUUCCGUCGGAAUCUGGGAGGACCAUCUCCCAAGGCUAAAUACUCCCUAGUGAUCGAUAGUGAACCAGUACCGUGAGGGAAAGGUGAAAAGCACCCCGGAAGGGGAGUGAAAGAGAUCCUGAAACCGUGUGCCUACAAAUAGUCAGAGCCCGUUAACGGGUGAUGGCGUGCCUUUUGUAGAAUGAACCGGCGAGUUACGAUCCCGUGCGAGGUUAAGCUGAAGAGGCGGAGCCGCAGCGAAAGCGAGUCUGAAUAGGGCGUUUAGUACGUGGUCGUAGACCCGAAACCAGGUGAUCUACCCAUGUCCAGGGUGAAGUUCAGGUAACACUGAAUGGAGGCCCGAACCCACGCACGUUGAAAAGUGCGGGGAUGAGGUGUGGGUAGCGGAGAAAUUCCAAUCGAACCUGGAGAUAGCUGGUUCUCCCCGAAAUAGCUUUAGGGCUAGCCUUAAGUGUAAGAGUCUUGGAGGUAGAGCACUGAUUGGACUAGGGGUCCUCAUCGGAUUACCGGAAUUCAGUCAAACUCCGAAUGCCAAUGACUUAUCCUUAGGAGUCAGACUGCGAGUGAUAAGAUCCGUAGUCAAAAGGGAAACAGCCCAGACCGCCAGCUAAGGUCCCAAAAGUGUGUAUUAAGUGGAAAAGGGAUGUGGAAGUUGCUUAGACAACUAGGAUGUUGGCUUAGAAAGCAGCCACCAUUUAAAGAGUGCGUAAUAGCUCACUAGUCGAGUGACUCUGCGCCGAAAAUGUACCGGGGCUAAAUACACCACCGAAGCUGCGGAUUGAUACCGAAUGGUAUCAGUGGUAGGGGAGCGUUCUAAGGACAGUGAAGUCAGACCGUAAGGACUGGUGGAGUGCUUAGAAGUGAGAAUGCCGGUAUGAGUAGCGAAAGACGGGUGAGAAUCCCGUCCACCGAAUGCCUAAGGUUUCCUGAGGAAGGCUCGUCCGCUCAGGGUUAGUCAGGACCUAAGCCGAGGCCGACAGGCGUAGGCGAUGGACAACAGGUUGAUAUUCCUGUACCACCUCUUUAUCGUUUGAGCAAUGGAGGGACGCAGAAGGAUAGAAGAAGCGUGCGAUUGGUUGUGCACGUCCAAGCAGUUAGGCUGAUAAGUAGGCAAAUCCGCUUAUCAUAAAGGCUGAGCUGUGAUGGGGAAGCUCCUUAUGGAGCGAAGUCUUUGAUUCCCCGCUGCCAAGAAAAGCUUCUAGCGAGAUAAAAGGUGCCUGUACCGCAAACCGACACAGGUAGGCGAGGAGAGAAUCCUAAGGUGUGCGAGAGAACUCUGGUUAAGGAACUCGGCAAAAUGACCCCGUAACUUCGGGAGAAGGGGUGCUUUCUUAACGGAAAGCCGCAGUGAAUAGGCCCAAGCGACUGUUUAGCAAAAACACAGCUCUCUGCGAAGCCGUAAGGCGAAGUAUAGGGGGUGACACCUGCCCGGUGCUGGAAGGUUAAGGAGAGGGGUUAGCGUAAGCGAAGCUCUGAACUGAAGCCCCAGUAAACGGCGGCCGUAACUAUAACGGUCCUAAGGUAGCGAAAUUCCUUGUCGGGUAAGUUCCGACCCGCACGAAAGGUGUAACGAUUUGGGCACUGUCUCAACCAGAGACUCGGUGAAAUUAUAGUACCUGUGAAGAUGCAGGUUACCCGCGACAGGACGGAAAGACCCCGUGGAGCUUUACUGUAGCCUGAUAUUGAAUUUUGGUACAGUUUGUACAGGAUAGGCGGGAGCCAUUGAAACCGGAGCGCUAGCUUCGGUGGAGGCGCUGGUGGGAAACCGCCCUGACUGUAUUGAAAUUCUAACCUACGGGUCUUAUCGACCCGGGAGACAGUGUCAGGUGGGCAGUUUGACUGGGGCGGUCGCCUCCUAAAGUGUAACGGAGGCGCCCAAAGGUUCCCUCAGAAUGGUUGGAAAUCAUUCGUAGAGUGCAAAGGCAUAAGGGAGCUUGACUGCGAGACCUACAAGUCGAGCAGGGACGAAAGUCGGGCUUAGUGAUCCGGUGGUUCCGCAUGGAAGGGCCAUCGCUCAACGGAUAAAAGCUACCCCGGGGAUAACAGGCUUAUCUCCCCCAAGAGUCCACAUCGACGGGGAGGUUUGGCACCUCGAUGUCGGCUCAUCGCAUCCUGGGGCUGUAGUCGGUCCCAAGGGUUGGGCUGUUCGCCCAUUAAAGCGGUACGCGAGCUGGGUUCAGAACGUCGUGAGACAGUUCGGUCCCUAUCCGUCGUGGGCGUAGGAAAUUUGAGAGGAGCUGUCCUUAGUACGAGAGGACCGGGAUGGACGCACCGCUGGUGUACCAGUUGUUCUGCCAAGGGCAUAGCUGGGUAGCUAUGUGCGGAAGGGAUAAGUGCUGAAAGCAUCUAAGCAUGAAGCCCCCCUCAAGAUGAGAUUUCCCAUAGCGUAAGCUAGUAAGAUCCCUGAAAGAUGAUCAGGUUGAUAGGUUCGAGGUGGAAGCAUGGUGACAUGUGGAGCUGACGAAUACUAAUAGAUCGAGGACUUAACCAUA
rnacentral:rRNA from 1 species